rnacentral:rRNA from 1 species
CGCCAACGAGUGGCGGACGGGUGAGUAACACGUAGGUAACCUGCCCAGAAGCGGGGGACAACAUUUGGAAACAGAUGCUAAUACCGCAUAACAACGUUGUUCGCAUGAACAACGCUUAAAAGAUGGCUUCUCGCUAUCACUUCUGGAUGGACCUGCGGUGCAUUAGCUUGUUGGUGGGGUAACGGCCUACCAAGGCGAUGAUGCAUAGCCGAGUUGAGAGACUGAUCGGCCACAAUGGGACUGAGACACGGCCCAUACUCCUACGGGAGGCAGCAGUAGGGAAUCUUCCACAAUGGGCGCAAGCCUGAUGGAGCAACACCGCGUGAGUGAAGAAGGGUUUCGGCUCGUAAAGCUCUGUUGUUAAAGAAGAACACGUAUGAGAGUAACUGUUCAUACGUUGACGGUAUUUAACCAGAAAGUCACGGCUAACUACGUGCCAGCAGCCGCGGUAAUACGUAGGUGGCAAGCGUUAUCCGGAUUUAUUGGGCGUAAAGAGAGUGCAGGCGGUUUUCUAAGUCUGAUGUGAAAGCCUUCGGCUUAACCGGAGAAGUGCAUCGGAAACUGGAUAACUUGAGUGCAGAAGAGGGUAGUGGAACUCCAUGUGUAGCGGUGGAAUGCGUAGAUAUAUGGAAGAACACCAGUGGCGAAGGCGGCUACCUGGUCUGCAACUGACGCUGAGACUCGAAAGCAUGGGUAGCGAACAGGAUUAGAUACCCUGGUAGUCCAUGCCGUAAACGAUGAGUGCUAGGUGUUGGAGGGUUUCCGCCCUUCAGUGCCGGAGCUAACGCAUUAAGCACUCCGCCUGGGGAGUACGACCGCAAGGUUGAAACUCAAAGGAAUUGACGGGGGCCCGCACAAGCGGUGGAGCAUGUGGUUUAAUUCGAAGCUACGCGAAGAACCUUACCAGGUCUUGACAUCUUGCGCCAACCCUAGAGAUAGGGCGUUUCCUUCGGGAACGCAAUGACAGGUGGUGCAUGGUCGUCGUCAGCUCGUGUCGUGAGAUGUUGGGUUAAGUCCCGCAACGAGCGCAACCCUUGUUACUAGUUGCCAGCAUUAAGUUGGGCACUCUAGUGAGACUGCCGGUGACAAACCGGAGGAAGGUGGGGACGACGUCAGAUCAUCAUGCCCCUUAUGACCUGGGCUACACACGUGCUACAAUGGACGGUACAACGAGUCGCGAACUCGCGAGGGCAAGCAAAUCUCUUAAAACCGUUCUCAGUUCGGACUGCA